AGUGAACGCUGGCGGUAGGCCUAACACAUGCAAGUCGAACGGCAGCACAGUAAGAGCUUGCUCUUACGGGUGGCGAGUGGCGGACGGGUGAGGAAUACAUCGGAGUCUACUUUUUCGUGGGGGAUAACGUAGGGAAACUUCCGCUAAUACCGCAUACGACCUACGGGUGAAAGCAGGGGAUCUUCGGACCUUGCGCGAUUGAAUGAGCCGAUGUCGGAUUAGCUAGUUGGCGGGGUAAAGGCCCACCAAGGCGACGAUCCGUAGCUGGUCUGAGAGGAUGAUCAGCCACACUGGAACUGAGACACGGUCCAGACUCCUACGGGAGGCAGCAGUGGGGAAUAUUGGACAAUGGGCGCAAGCCUGAUCCAGCCAUACCGCGUGGGUGAAGAAGGCCUUCGGGUUGUAAAGCCCUUUUGUUGGGAAAGAAAAGCAGCAGGUUAAUACCCCGCUGUUCUGACGGUACCCAAAGAAUAAGCACCGGCUAACUUCGUG
rnacentral:rRNA from 1 species